CGGGGUGAGUAAUGUCUGGGAAACUGCCUGAUGGAGGGGGAUAACUACUGGAAACGGUAGCUAAUACCGCAUAACGUCGCAAGACCAAGAGGGGGACCUCGGGCCUCUUGCCAUCGGAUGUGCCCAGAUGGGAUUAGCUAGUAGGUGGGGUAACGGCUCACCUAGGCGACGAUCCCUAGCUGGUCUGAGAGGAUGACCAGCCACACUGGAGCUGAGACACGGUCCAG
rnacentral:rRNA from 1 species